CUUCGAGAUCCUUUCAAUAAAAAAAAAAACCGGUAAAAAAACGCCUCCAUCUUAUCUCUUCCCCGUGUUCCUCCCCGAGGUCACCGUGAUGCCGCCGCCGCUCGCGCCUCCACUUCCUCUUCUUCUACUCUCUCCUUCCUCUCUCCAUCCCGACGCUCUCUCUCGCUGUCUCUCCCGACGGCCGCAGGGCGAGGGUGCCCACGACGCCGUAUCGGCUAGGGCAGGCCCCUGCGACUGCGCGCGGACCAUGCCCCCGGCACGGCGCCGGCCGGCGAGCGUGCCCCCGUCGCCCGGCAUGGAGGAUGCCGGCGCAGGCCGGUCCAGUCGUGGUGGCUCACGCACGACCGACCAGCGAGGACUCCGGCGCGACUAGCCCGAGGAUUUUUAUUAAAAACGCAAUGGCCAGAGCUUUGCCUUUUAAUAAUUGAGAAAAGUGUAUCCUCUCAGGAUCCUGAGAGCCUUCUUGAAUCAGCCUUCCCUUGUGUCUUCAACGUGGGGAAGCAACUUAUAUCUAAUUAAGUGUUAUGGGGGGCGUCCAACUAGCUAAAUUACUAAAAAGACGUGUUCACAGAGUUACUUAUUGGCCGAGGAAGACAUUAGUGGAGUCAAAUCUGAAAAAGCAAAAGAUCUGGGUGUCACAUUCUCACCUCAAGAUGGUUUAUUUGGUUUCAUCCCAAAAUCAAAACCUGCAAAGGCUCCUGUAGACAAAUAUCAAAGCAACAACAAUUCUGAUAAACUUCAGCAAUCACAGACAAAUAACUCUCCAGCUAAAGUCGGAAAAACCAUGUGCACUGCCACUCUUCUGAUGAUUCGAUAUUUGGAUAGCUUGCCAUGGAGUCAUGCUCAACAUAACCUAUUACAUAAUUUGGUCAUGAUCAUAGUUGCUUCGAUCUUAUUACCGAAGACAUGAUGAUUGGUGCUAUCUGAGACAACUCAGUACUCGAGCAAGGCAGUUUAUUGCCUAACAGUGCCACUGUAAUACCAAGCUUUGUGUUGCGCGUGGGUCCUGUGUCGGCCCUAGCGGUCGCUGUCCCCGGCCACGGCGAGGCCGUAGCGGGCGUCGUCAAUGCUCGCUGGCGCGGGUGCUCCCUCCCGCAUGGCCUGGUCCAGGGUGCUCUGUUGUUCCUCACGUCGUCCUCUCCUCGGUUUGGUCACUCCCCCUUUCUCUCCCUUUUUACCUCUCCCUGCGGGAUCUCCCUCCCCCAGCUCUCGCGGAGGCUCGCUUCCCUUCGCUAUGGAUGGCAAUUUAUAUGCAGAUAAAUUGUUCGCCUAAGGUCCAUGAAACCCUAGCUAUCUGUCCUCAUCUUCUCGGCAUGGUUUAUGAGGAUAGAAUCAUAUACAUCUCUGGCAAUCUCAGUUGCUCUUGCAUGAUUUUUCACAGGAUGCGAGAUUCGGAGGGGGUGAAUCUUGGUUACUACUACAAUUUUACUUGCCUUCUGUAGGGUGUGGUUUGCUCUGUUCUACUGGAUCUUCAGAGCAGGAAAUUAUUGUGCCAUACAUCUGAGCAUGUGACCAUGUCAUGGUAUUUUUUCCUUGAUUUCUUACGGUGCAUCCCUUGUCAUUUCUGGUCUUGUUUUGGAUCUUAGUCACCUGCAAUGAUGUGUGCACUUUUGUCUUGUUGUUACAUUUUAAUUUGAGGGAAUGGGCUGCUGUUGUGAUGACUACAUCAUAUAUAUAUAUAUAUAUAUAUAUAUAUAUAUAUAUAUAUAUAUAUAUAUAUAUAUAUAUAUAUAUAUAUAUAUAUAUGAUGUUUAGUGUUUGAUGCAAUGAUCAUGGCCUAUCUUUGCAUACUUUAAGUCUCUUCCUUCUAGCAUAACUGAGGCAGUGCUCACGAGCUAUGAUGAAUCUUCCUUUUACAUCUCUGUACUAUGUUCAUAGCUGAGGCAAUGAUCAUGAACAACGUUGAUUCUAUUUUUACCAUCUUUUUGUACCUCUUCCAUGGUAAUUAAGGGAAAUGAUUAUUUGGCCAUUUCUAUUUUCUUCAUUUCUUCGUACUUAUUCUAUUUCGUGUACUUUCAAGGCACCAAUGAGGGGUACUAUCUGUUGAUAUUCAGUCAAAAGACUAUGCUCUUCGAAUUAGCUCUUAAUUAUGAAAUAUUAGCUUCUGAUAACGUUGCAUGCCAUGAUUUCGUCCAUUCUCUGCUUUGAUCAUUGGCUUUUGUUUUCCACUCAUAAUUGUUUAUGAUCAUCGUCUGUGAUGUCAAUAACCACGUAAUUGUGCAGUCUGAACCUGUGUUUACUGCCUGUUAAGUGAUAGAUAUAUGCUUCUUGAUUUCAGCUUGAUUCUGAGCGCAUGUCCUAUUCCCAAAGAUUACAUUGUGAAACGCUUUGCUUGUUUGCGACCACUUUUGGGUUCUCCUUUUUAUUUGACUUUUGAGUACAAUUAUGUGCGCUGCUAAUCUUUGAACUCAAGUGAAAUACAUGCAAUACUGAAAAAGAAAUAUAAUAAAGGUCAUUAUUUUUUUGCUUUGGAAGUUGAUCUGAUCUUAAGUUUAUUUCCAGUCUGGUCUAAUAAAGAGUGGACUGGAAUUGUGUAGGUUUGCUAAGGAAAAGGAAGAAUAUUGGUUGGCAUCAUAUUAGAAUAAGGUUUGAUCUUAGGAGACGGUGAUGUUUUCAGAUCUAACAAAUGCAUGCGUCCACCGAUAUUUGUACAGGUUCCACUGAGCAAUGCUUAAAUCUAAGUAAUUUCUUGUAUUAUAUAUGGUUGUUUCCUUGCCAAUAGAGAAUAAACAACAUUUACCUUGCAUGUUAGUUUCUAUUGAUCAUGGUGUCAACUAAAAUUGGCUAGAUUUAAACAAGUUGUCCUCAUCGCUCAAUCUAACCCCUUUUAUCUGUACAUCAGUCAUUAGUGAAGAAUUCGUUACAAAAAAAACAUCCUUAAUUAUUCUUUAGUUGUAUCUCUUUAGUUUCAGGUUUUAGAAUCACUUAUUCACUAGGCAGGCCCAAAACAAUAUUUCCUGAUACAGUUGGGUCAUAAUCCUUCGAUGAUAGUAUAACACUGUGAAUGCGGUAUGUUGCUUUCAGCUACUUUCUUUAUAAAGUUUAUGUACCUGUUAACUCAGCUUAUUAUUAUACUUGCGGCCCAUAUCUUAAUUGAGUUAUUGGCAUUAUUAAAAAUUGGGGACGUCAAAUGGUAAUGCCUUCGAAUUUGCCACCAUAGCGCUUUCAGAAAUUCUAGAAAUCAGAGGUUGGUUUAAGAAAAUAUUUUGUUUAGUGGCUUGGUUCUAUGGAUGUUGCUAUUCUUCACAUUUUGUGAUCUACAUGUUCACCAAUAAUUUAAAAUUCUAUUUCUGUUGGUUGUCCUCUGAGAUCUAUAGAAUAGGAUGAAAGCAAAUUCAAUUGAGAAGGCUAUUUCUGUAUGUGUCGAUCUUUGGAGGUUUUCUGUUACGAACUCAAAAGUCUCAAGCGUGUAUUUAUGGAUGAAUAUCAUGUCCACAGCACGAUACUACUAUAGACAAUGGUCUACUUCUUUUUACAUCUGAUUCACAUUUAGUAAGAAGGUGAGGCCUUCCUGAUUUUGACAGCGAUCGUGUAGAAAUCAGCAGAAUGCAUGUGCCUACCUAGAGAUCUUUCGUGUGAAUAGAAAUAGCUUCUUCAUAUUCAUAGAUGUAUAUAGUUAUAAUGGGAAAAACCAUUAACUAGAUGCUACAAUUGUGUGAGGCUGUAGCCUACAAAGUUCCUACAAAGUUUUCACCAUACCUCAUUGUCCUUAGAGAUGACAUUUUUUUCCUAUUUUCAUGUGUGUGCCUGCUAUAUUCGGAACCCUGGAGGCUCACAAGUUUGAGAUUAGAUGGCCCACGGAAGUUCAGUGGAUGGAUAGGUGAACCUCCAAAUGGUUAUACUGAACAGUUAAAUAUGAUUCAGUGCUGACAAUUCCUAGCUAUCUAUUGAGGAUAUGGGCAUUGGAAAUUUUGCAAAUUACUGAAUGAAGCUGAAGUACAAACCUUAUUAUUUCCUUAUGGUACUAAAGAUGUGCAAUAGAAAGAGCGAGAAAGGACCACUUUGAGGGCUUUAUACCAGAGGUGUGGCCAUCAUCUUGUUCGUGGCAAAUUGCUACAACAAAUAGUUUUGUGACAAUGUCAGCCUACAUGGAGGGGUGUAUAGAGAAGGCUAUGCUCAACAACAAAACAUGAUUUAGUGUUGGCACUUUCUGGUUAUAUCUUGAGCCUAUGGUCAGUACAAAUUUUGUGAAUUACUAAAUGUGGGUCCUUAUGAUAAGUAUUACUUCCUGACCACAAUAGCCUCAUGGAAGUACUUAGAGGUUACAGCUCAGGCACCAAAAAAGGAAGGCUCUGCUAGCAUCAUAUGUUUGACUAUGUACUUUUACAUUUUUAUACAGAUGUUAAAAGAUUUUUAACACAGAUAAGGUUUUCAUGGUGUAAAACCUCCAUUGUACAGUUGCCUAGCUAUAGUAGGUACCACACAAUUAGUUGUUAAACAUUAUACCAAUGUAAUUUAUCAUCCUGUAAUAAAUGUGUGUGUCGCUAAUCAAAUUCGAAUUCCACUCUUUCAUCCCAAAUUUGUAUUA